UACGUAGGGGGCUAGCGUUGUCCGGAUUUACUGGGCGUAAAGAGCGCGCAGGCGGUCGUUCAAGUCGCGUGUGAAAGCCCCCGGCUCAACUGGGGAGGGUCACGCGAUACUGAUCGACUCGAAGGCAGGAGAGGGAAGUGGAAUUCCCGGUGUAGUGGUGAAAUGCGUAGAUAUCGGGAGGAACACCAGUGGCGAAGGCGGCUUCCUGGCCUGUUCUUGACGCUGAGGCGCGAAAGCUAGGGGAGCAAACGGG
rnacentral:rRNA from 1 species